GCCUGGGUGGCUCAGUCGGUUGAGCAGCCGACUUCGGCUCAGGUCAUGAUCUCGCGGUCCUUGAGGGCUGUGGGUUCGAGCCCCGCGUCGGGCU
rnacentral:tRNA from 1 species